GUCUUGAUGGGGAGUUUAAGAGCGGCAGAACGCAGCACUCUGAGACCAUCUUCUCUCAAGAUGUUGAAUCUAUAGUGUAUUUUGAUGACACGCUGUUGGCAGUGUGGCGUCACGGCUGGUUGAGGAGAGGAAAAGGUUUCACGGAAAUGCUGGAGGAAAUCACGGACCACAGGAAGACCCACAGACUCGUGCAGUCCGACAGGAUGGUCCUUUUAGAAACUCAUCAGAGCGAGGACCCGUCGGGGCUUUCCAACCUCUACGUCCUGGAGAUCGCCGAGAACUACGUCAUGCUGGCCUGACUCUCCCACACCCUGCUUCUACUGGGACUUAAUACAAGAGAGAAAAGACACAUUGGGCUUCGACAUUUGGAUCUGUCAUCGUUAAGUUCGAUGCGUAUAGACGCCUCACUG